CCGAAUGGUUUGUUCCACCUCAACUAGUUUCGCACUGCAUUACUGGGUAAACCUGUGAAGAAUUAAGAAAACCAUCAAUCUUUUUAUUUAAGAGUUCUACCUGAUUAGAGAGCAUGGUGACUGAAUCGACGUUGUAAACGCUGACUGUUUUCGUUGGCUUUGUCCUCAUGACUUGCCACUGAUAGUUAUUCAGUGGCAUCUCUUAUAUAAACUCAUAGGCAUCUUCGGG
rnacentral:lncRNA from 1 species